rnacentral:rRNA from 1 species
GGACUACUGGGGUUUCUAAUCCCAUUCGCGACCCACGCUUUCGUGUUUCAGCGUCAGAAACAGGCCAGUCUCUUGCCUUCGCUUUUGGUGUUCCCCAUGAUAUCAACGCAUUUCACCGCUACACCAUGAGUUCCAGAGACCUCUCCUGCCCUCGAGCGAUGCCGUUUCUCCCGCGCGCCUCCGGUUGAGCCGAAGAAUUUUACGGGAGACUAACAUCGCCGCCUACACACCCUUUACGCCCAAUGAUUCCGGAUAACGCUCGAAGCACUCGUAUUACCGCGGCUGCUGGCAC